rnacentral:rRNA from 1 species
GAUGAACGCUGGCGGCGUGCCUAAUACAUGCAAGUAGAACGCUGAAGGAAGGAGCUUGCUCUUUCCGGAUGAGUUGCGAACGGGUGAGUAACGCGUAGGUAACCUGCCUGGUAGCGGGGGAUAACUACUGGAAACGAUAGCUAAUACCGCAUAACAGUAGAUGUUGCAUGAUAUCUACUUAAAAGGUGCAAUUGCACCACUACCAGAUGGACCUGCGUUGUAUUAGCUAGUUGGUGAGGUAACGGCUCACCAAGGCGACGAUACAUAGCCGACCUGAGAGGGUGGACGGCCAAACUGGGACUGGGACAAGGCCCAGAAGCCUACGGGAGGCAGCAGUAGGGAAACUUCGGCAAUGGACGGAAGUCUGAACGAGCAAAGCCGCGUGAGGGAAGAAGGUUUUCGGAUCGUAAAGCUCUGUUGUAAGAGAAGAAAGAGUGUGAGAGUGGAAAGCUCACACUGUGACGGUAUCUAACCAGAAAGGGACGGCUAACUACGUG